rnacentral:rRNA from 1 species
GCCCGUGGCCACGCCGCGCUGAACGAGCCCCAUCCCGCCUGACCUCGGAAGCUGAGCAGGGCCGGGCCCGCUCGGGACUCGGAUGCGAGGCCACCUAGAAGCCCAGGUGCCGUGGGUG